UAAUGUCUAUCCAACCAACUCCCAAACUGCUACAUUUGUUGAUCUCUCUGUGUAUUCAGCAAAGUUAGAAUGGUAGAAACUUUGCUUCAUUUAUUCUACCACUUCAAUCAGAUAAAUCUUUUUUAUUUUUGAUAAAUUUCAGUGUGGUGCUGUUUCUUUUUUUUAGCAAUUAAAAAAAAGACUUGAGAACAAGGAAGUCUCCUGCACAGAGCUGGGAGUCAUUCUUAGGGUGGGACUACAAAAGGCACUUAAGUUAAGACUGCUAUUGCUCUUGAAUUUCUGUAUCUCAGUAUGACAAUGUUGUUCUUUUACACAGUCAUGGCACUUCUUACAGAUUAUGUUCUUGCAAAUGCAAUAACAUCUCACUCUACUAAACAGCAUGUUUUAGAAGGAGGAAAAGUCACUAUUUCUUGCAACUACAGUGGAAGCAAUAUUAACAGUCUUCAGUGGUACAGACAGUCUUCCAAUACUGCAACUGAAUUUAUCUUGCAAGCAUUUAUAGGUUUGGAACCACAGCACAAGGACCGCUAUGUUGCUAACGUUCAAAAGAAUGAACAAACACUAUAUCUGGAGAUCUCCAAAACUGAGAUGGCAGAUGCUGCAGUAUACUACUGUGCCCUGGUGCCCACAGUAACAGGAAACCCUUCAACACUGUACAAAAACCUGAGAUAUGACUUUCACAUUUGACUAUAGUGUCUCUGAUCCUGGUGCUACAUUGUUUUUUGGUUUUUUUUUCUACUGCACAGAGUGAUGGAUAUUAAUGGUGAUUAAUUCAUAUUCAUGGUCAUUAACACUGAUAAAAAAGUGAUUUAAAACAAAUCUAAGCAAAAAAUAAUAAUAAGCGCAAGAUUAACAAAUGAGCAAGUAUUAAUUUAUCAGUUUAAAAUUUUACAUGAAUCCAUACUUCUGUUCAGAAAGGUAUUUGUCUUUCUAAUACAAUUAACUUCUGUUUACUAGAAUGCAUCAAUAAA